rnacentral:rRNA from 1 species
UGAGGAAUAUUGGUCAAUGGCCGGAAGGCUGAACCAGCCAAGUCGCGUGAGGGAAUAAGGCCCUAUGGGUCGUAAACCUCUUUUGUCAGGGAGCAAAGGCGUCCACGUGUGGACGAGAGGAGAGUACCUGAAGAAAAAGCAUCGGCUAACUCCGUGCCAGCAGCCGCGGUAAUACGGAGGAUGCGAGCGUUAUCCGGAUUUAUUGGGUUUAAAGGGUGCGUAGGCGGAGUGUCAAGUCAGCGGUAAAAUUUCGGGGCUCAACCCCGUCGUGCCGUUGAAACUGACGCCCUUGAGUGAGUGAGA